rnacentral:rRNA from 1 species
UAUCCUAUGUUGCCAGCGCGUAAUGGCGGGGACUCUAUUCAGACUGCCCAGAUCAACUGGGAGGAAGGUGGGGACGACGUCAGGUCAGUAUGGCCCUUAGCCCUAGGGCUGCACACGUACUACAAUGCCCAGCACAAUGAGAACCAAUACCGCGAGGUGGAGGAAAUCUGUAAAACUGGGCCCAGUUCGGAUUGGAGGCUGCAACUCGCCUCCAUGAAGUUGGAAUCGCUAGUAAUGCCGUAUCAGCUACGACGGCGUGAAUACGUUC